AGAGUUUGAUCCUGGCUCAGGAUGAACGCUGGCGGCGUGCCUAAUACAUGCAAGUCGAGCGAACGGACGAGAAGCUUGCUUCUCUGAUGUUAGCGGCGGACGGGUGAGUAACACGUGGAUAACCUACCUAUAAGACUGGGAUAACUUCGGGAAACCGGAGCUAAUACCGGAUAAUAUUUUGAACCGCAUGGUUCAAAAGUGAAAGACGGUCUUGCUGUCACUUAUAGAUGGAUCCGCGCUGCAUUAGCUAGUUGGUAAGGUAACGGCUUACCAAGGCAACGAUGCAUAGCCGACCUGAGAGGGUGAUCGGCCACACUGGAACUGAGACACGGUCCAGACUCCUACGGGAGGCAGCAGUAGGGAAUCUUCCGCAAUGGGCGAAAGCCUGACGGAGCAACGCCGCGUGAGUGAUGAAGGUCUUCGGAUCGUAAAACUCUGUUAUUAGGGAAGAACAUAUGUGUAAGUAACUGUGCACAUCUUGACGGUACCUAAUCAGAAAGCCACGGCUAACUACGUGCCAGCAGCCGCGGUAAUACGUAGGUGGCAAGCGUUAUCCGGAAUUAUUGGGCGUAAAGCGCGCGUAGGCGGUUUUUUAAGUCUGAUGUGAAAGCCCACGGCUCAACCGUGGAGGGUCAUUGGAAACUGGAAAACUUGAGUGCAGAAGAGGAAAGUGGAAUUCCAUGUGUAGCGGUGAAAUGCGCAGAGAUAUGGAGGAACACCAGUGGCGAAGGCGACUUUCUGGUCUGUAACUGACGCUGAUGUGCGAAAGCGUGGGGAUCAAACAGGAUUAGAUACCCUGGUAGUCCACGCCGUAAACGAUGAGUGCUAAGUGUUAGGGGGUUUCCGCCCCUUAGUGCUGCAGCUAACGCAUUAAGCACUCCGCCUGGGGAGUACGACCGCAAGGUUGAAACUCAAAGGAAUUGACGGGGACCCGCACAAGCGGUGGAGCAUGUGGUUUAAUUCGAAGCAACGCGAAGAACCUUACCAAAUCUUGACAUCCUUUGACAACUCUAGAGAUAGAGCCUUCCCCUUCGGGGGACAAAGUGACAGGUGGUGCAUGGUUGUCGUCAGCUCGUGUCGUGAGAUGUUGGGUUAAGUCCCGCAACGAGCGCAACCCUUAAGCUUAGUUGCCAUCAUUAAGUUGGGCACUCUAAGUUGACUGCCGGUGACAAACCGGAGGAAGGUGGGGAUGACGUCAAAUCAUCAUGCCCCUUAUGAUUUGGGCUACACACGUGCUACAAUGGACAAUACAAAGGGCAGCGAAACCGCGAGGUCAAGCAAAUCCCAUAAAGUUGUUCUCAGUUCGGAUUGUAGUCUGCAACUCGACUACAUGAAGCUGGAAUCGCUAGUAAUCGUAGAUCAGCAUGCUACGGUGAAUACGUUCCCGGGUCUUGUACACACCGCCCGUCACACCACGAGAGUUUGUAACACCCGAAGCCGGUGGAGUAACCUUUUAGGAGCUAGCCGUCGAAGGUGGGACAAAUGAUUGGGGNUACGUGCCAGCAGCCGCGGUAAUACGUAGGUGGCA
rnacentral:rRNA from 1 species